GUGCUUGCUUUGGCAGCACAUAUACUAAAAUGGGAACAAUACACAGAAAGUUGUCAUGGCCCUGCACAAGGAUGACAUGCAAAUUUGUGAAACAUUCCCUAUUUUU
ensembl:snRNA U6 U6 spliceosomal RNA